rnacentral:lncRNA from 1 species
UUUGUACCAGUUUUUCCAUUCCUCUCUCUUUUUUCUUUUCUUUUUUUUUAAUAAUAAAAUAAAAUAAAAAUAUUAAUUAAAAUAAUCUAUUUUAAUGUAAAAUAAUAUAUAUAUAUAUAUAUAUAUUUGAAACAUCAAAAAUUAAUUUACUACACAUAAAAACAAAAUAAAUUUAUACAUACUGUAAUAUAGAAAACUGGAGUAUGCAAUUUAAAUUACAAUGACACGUGGAGCCCUAAAUAACUGAGAAAGUUUAAGUUUAUAACCUUGCUUUCUAGGAUGCAACUCUGAAAUUUACUUCUCGAUGCAAUUGACAGUCUACUGCCUAUUCUGAGCCUGAAAAAUGUAUAGAAAGAAGGGGUGAGAUUAUAAAAUCUCAGUGAGUAGACAGACAUCAUCAAAAUAAUCUAAAGCCGAGUAAUAGGAGACAAUUAAAAUAAUUCAUCCGAGCAUAAGUUUCACAACUUGGAAGUUCAUCCCAACCCAUAUAAAUAAUUGGAUUUCAUCCAAUUAUUCAACAUGGGUUAUGCAUUUUUCAAAAACUUAGCCCUUGCCAAAAAUCCAUUCUCGGGGAUACCCCGCGGAGGCAUCUUACCGAGACCGCCAAGGCUGUUUAUUGUCACACAGACAAACACAUUUCACCUCUGACAACACAGUCGUUCUUUGGCGUUGGCUGAGUCUCAGUUGCACGUGGUGGCUAGCGUGAAGUGUACUCAAAUCCUACCUCGGGAGUUAUCCUCUGCGCCUUUCCAAUCGAGGUAAGCUCAAUAAUUGGGAACCGUGCCCCUCUAAUUAGGCUGGCCCACGGAACCCCCAUCACUGCAGUGCCCACUUUAUAAUCCACCAACCAAUAAAAUAACAAUAGUAUGACAUGGCUCACUUAACACAUUCAAGGCAAAUCAAAGCAGUUCACAUAUUCUUUAAAUCAUAAAAAUAACUAGUCAUAAAAUCAUGGAUAAACAACACAAUCAUAGUAUAGGUCUCCAAUUACUCUAUUUUUAAAAUCAUUAUUAAAUUUUCAAAAAUUUUAUAAAAUUAUUUUAUAAAAUCCCAUUUUUCCAUAAAACAUAAUAAUUUUCCAACUAAACCAUUUUUUCAUAAAAUUACACAAUUAAAUAAAUUUACUCUAGAUAAUUAAGACGAUAGUAAGUUUACUCACUAUAAUAGGAGUAGAUAAACUCCUAUUCUCGGUCCUCGGGUGUAGUCUUUUAUCCGUAUCAGAUAGCUCACCACCUAUCCACAAUACAUGACAUAAAAAAUUUAAUAAUUUGUGUCAAAUCAAUAUAUAUUAUUUCAGGCUCUUAUCCAUGCGUAUGCACUAGAUAGGGUGUGAAAUGUUUGGACAAUCGCUUAAUUACGGUGUCUGACCUAACUCGCCUAUACACGGUGUAAAUUUCUAAAAUCUCCAAUUCAACUCCAAUUCCAUCCAUUUCAAUUUCAAUUAUCCAAUUAUAUCCACAAUACCUCAAUGACUGUGAAUGUGGUCCAAUUUAUCAGUUCGGAUCACAAAUUACGCUUUUACCCCUAGUGGGUAAAAAUUUCAAUUUUUGCACCAAAAAUUCUCAUUUAAUUUUCAACCUCAUAAUUCAUCAUUUUUCCAUCUAAUUCUCUUAAAAUAAAGUCAACCUCAUCCUCACACACCAUUGGCUAGAUUCGGCCUAGAGAAAUUCAUAGAGAAAAUGAAUAUUUUUCUUGUUGUUUUACUCAGAAACAUGUUAAACGAACACUAAACACUAACAUAGUUCAAAAUCAAAUUAAUCUAACAACUUUCUCUCUCUAAACCCAUGUGAUCAGAUUUGAAUCCAUCAUCAAAACACAUAAUUUAACUAUAGAAAAUAAGGAGAAAUGCAUGGAAAUGAUAGAUCUUAAGUUAAGCUUGAAAAAUCAUACCUUUAAACACUUGAUUCCUUGAAAAAUCACACUUUUUCUUUGAAUUUUCUCACUCUAGGGUUUGUUCUUAUUUCUCUCUCUCUCCUGAUGGUUUUGGC